GAUAUGCAUAUGAUAAGUAUUGACCAGGUCUUGACAUCUAUCAACGAGUCGAGCAAGUUUUUGUACAGAUGCAGGCACCGUCCAUAAUGCACACCGGCCCUUGUUUUGUUUGACGGUUGGCGUCUGACGGAUAUAUUUUUGAAACAUUUCAAACUACCUAAUAACCUAAAUAAUCAUGGGAGCUGACAGAGAGUGACAUUGUAUAAAAUGACUAGCAUUAAUACAAUAACGUCGGUUCACGUGAGAAAAUUAGGACAUUCGCUUGACGAGAUUCGUUUGAGAGCACUCGAUAGCAUUAUUUCAAAGAUUGAUCAUGGCUUUGGAUGCGACUGUGGAGCUGUGAAAAAGGAACUUAUUGUUAAAUUAUUCAACUGGUUUGCAUUUCCGAAUGUACCACAACCAGGAAAAGUCUUAGAUCUUUUGCUACGAUUGAUUCAAACAAGUGGAGAAAAUUACACAAAUGCUUUUGGUAAACUGAGAUUCCAAAAUGAAAUUCGUGAAUUACAAUCAACUCUUGACCCAGUUUAUCACAACAAAUUAUAUGAAAUUGAGAGAGCCAUUACCACUACUAACGAUUCUGAAAAGUCAUCUGGAAUAAAAUUACAGACCAUCAAGGCGCCGACCCAGUUCAAUACAUCAUCUACAGAGACUGAAGAUCAUCGGUUUAGACCUAGAAUAUCUCAAGUGGAAGGGCACAGUAGUGCAUUGCCGUCUUCUACCACAAAAGCAACAUCAGUUGCAAGUACAUCAUUGUUCGAUUUGACGUUACAAUGUGGAGAUGGAACUCACAUUGACAAGAGAACAGAAGGUGGUAUAAAGUGGUUAGUGAUGCCGUGGCAGCCAUUGGUAACUUCAGAUAGAGGUGUUCUCGCUGCUAUUGAGGAAGCACUGCAUAACGUGACAGACACAACUCUCAUACUUCAUACUUGUCAAUUCAUUACAAAUGUUAUGCUACAAGACUUUCCUGCCGAAGUUUUUUUGCAAAGACCUGCUAUUGUUACAGUCUUACACAGUCUGAUAUUAGCUAAUGAGGAUUACGAACGAGACAAUUUUUCAGAGAUAGCUUCGGCAUUAUUAAAAACCUUCCAUAAAUUGACACGUUCAUUGAGAUUUCGUAUCUACUACUAUUGUGAUCCUUGUGUUGCUAAUAAAAAACAAAAAAUUUUGGCAGAAAAUGUGGAAAGUGUGGCUUAUCCUUCAUCAGAGGAAAGAGACAGCCCAGAUGCUGGGCUACCAGAAGCUAAUUACCAAGCAUAUCAAUCUGCGGGUACCAGCGAACGAAGUCAAAGUAUUACUGAUCACAUAGAAGACUCUGUUCUGCAGUUGCAACAGAUGACAAUACCAAUUUAUUGUAUAGAGACACUGAAGAAUGUUUUGAUGCUCUUGGGUCUUCCAAUUGAUCCCACUUUUCCAUUGACUAAUGUCAAAGAUGUGACAGAUGUGGCGUAUGAGCUUGUACAACUGAUAAAUAUGAGCAUUCAACCUAAUAUUUGGCUCUGCGGUGAUGGCGAGUCUUUAAAAGUAAAUGAAAAUUUGAAAGACCUAAUGAAACUCCUUGGUGAGGUCAUGGAGUAUUUAGGCUCUUACACCAGUCUGGAUCACUGUAGAGUUACAUAUUUGCAUCUCGUAUGCAUUACCACAAAGCUGCUUAGUAAUAUUGUGCCACUAGAAUUAGCAGAUUUGGUGCUAGCUAAACCACUUAAGUCAGCAAUAGUGGCAGCUGUUAUGGAUGCGCCAACAUAUUUAAUGUAUCCACAGAUACAUGCUAUACUUCAAGAAUAUGCAAGACAAUUCAGUGGAAGAGAAGAACGCGAGAGCAUGAAAUUGUUCGAUGAAACGUGUUUAAUUACGAAAUCAAUGAAAGCUGCUAUUUCGCUGAUGAAAAGUAAUACAGAAAUGUCUGUGCCUAAUGCACUAAAGAAGAUUUAUGCGUCAAAACUUUGUUUCUCAUAUCACAAGAACUUUGGUAUCAUCAGUCGAACGGUUUCAGUUCUACAAAAACUCAAUGAGUGUUCUCUGGAUUCUAAUGAUCGGGCAGUAGCUAUUAAGUUGGUACUUAAUUUAUUAGCAAAUAACGAUCCUGCUGUGCAACUAGCAAUGUACGUAGAAUGUCACAAGGUAGUUAUGGAAUCUCUCGGAGUUACUUUAUCAAAAGGAAAGCAUUUGUGGGGUAAUAUAUCAUUUCUCUUGGAGUCAACUGUUUUGGUAGAAAUAAUCUGUCACGGUGCAAACAAUGAAAAUCUUGAGAUGAAGCGUUUGGCUGAAGAAAUACUGUUAUACUUGAUAAAGGCCAAAGUCCAACUUGGAGAAGAGGGAUGGAGCAUGCUCAUAGAAGCUCUUGCCCCGGCUCAUGCCCUUCUACAAUGUUACGCUGAUUCAAAAACAACUUUGGGCAAAUGUAUUUUGAAAAUGUUAGAUCCGGAUUUGUGGUCUAGUAUUCAAAUCCCAUACAUCGAGGUCCUGAGGGGUAACAUAAGGCUUUUAUUUGCGAUUGACUCAGACGUCAGAGAAGAGGCAAUUUGUCGAUUAAUCUGGCUGUUAGGCAAGGAAACUGAUUCUGUUAAAAAAUUACCUCGACUGUCUGCACUCCAUGGUUUGCCGCUUAGUUCUGUCUGCAUAUUUGACAGAAAUACGACAAUCAGGCAAACACAAGGCAACUAUCAGAGAAGCAGUUUAUUAUCUGUAAUCGAAAUGCUAAACGCACCUGGAGUUGAACCAAAAAUGCGAAAGUCGGCGUUGGUACAAAUUAGUGUCAUGCUUACGGACUUAUCGUUACAUAAUGUUUUCAUUACUGAAAACGGUUUGCAGUUAAUUUUGAAAAUCUUCAGCAGUGCCUUGAUAGAACAGGAAUAUACCAAUUAUCCUGAUUCUGUCAUCUCAAUCCUGACAAUAUUGAAGUUGAUUUGUUCAAUGGACAGCUCUAUCAGACACGAAUUGUCUGGCCGUGCUGAUAUUUACCUAAACAUUCUUCGAAGUUUAUUUCUGUUCCCCAAUAAUGAUUGUGUGAAGAUAGAUGGAUCACAUCUUUUAUGCCUGCUUUUAUAUAGCGAGUAUAUUUUAAGAGCUGGGGAUAAAGAAGUCGAUCGAUUCAAUCCUGUUAAUAUAUCUCUACCAUACCUUGUGGUUUCAAAAAUGAGGUUGCCAUUCACUAGUAAAUGCCAUUGGAAAACCAGUAUACACAGACGCUCAGAUCUAUCAGUUACCCAUAGUAGUAAUGAAAAGGCGUUGACUUUUCUGAGACAGUUCUGGGCUUGGGAAUGGAAUGACGAGGUUCAUCUCUUGUGGAAAUCCUUCAGUACUGUGAAUGACUCUGAGAUAUCAGAAAAAUUAAUUAUUCAUGAAUCUGAGUUCACUUCUCUUCAAUUGAGUUCAGUCCGUUAUUGUUGUCAGCAGCAACUGUAUAAUAUACAAAACUCAACUACCCAUGGAGGAGUUAUGUGUGCACUUGACUUCAUAACUAUGUAUUUAAAGUUAUACGACAUGUCAAAGUGCAGUGAACUAUCUGAUGUCACUUCUCUUCCUUGGGCCCAUUCAUUCGAACGGUUUUUGUUAUCGCAUCCUACCAGCAAAGAAGAUUCUAAAUUAUUUGUACGUGUUCUGACGUUCCUGUACUCCUUUGUUUAUAUUACUAAAAAUGGAGAUAAUACUUGGCUCUGUAAGAUUAUGAAAAAUAUGACCAAGUCUCUGUCAGAUUUACUCCGGAAUCUUGAUACCAAUAACCAAGACAUUCAUCAAUCCAUGCUCAAGCUGGCUCGAGCAUGUUCAGCAACAGAACCAACAGAUGAAACCGCUGGUGAAUCUAGCAACGAGUCUUGGAUAAAUUUCAUAGAGCUGGUUGUUUCCAGUCUUUGCUUCGGUGACCAGCAACACUUUUAUAAUUUAGCAUACCUUGAUUGGCUUUUGACAUGCCUUUCGUACUUGACGGGAAAGUGUCAGUGGAAUAAGCAUAGAAACUUAUUAAUCUCGCUCGGGAAUGCAUUGAUUGAACUUAUCAUAUCAUUCCAUGGUGCAGGGACCUACAGUUAUAUGGGGCUAUCAAUAACAAGGAAUUCUAUUCUUUGUCUGAAUCACUUGCUGUAUCAGAUGCAAAAGAACUUCGAUAAAAGUAUGUGGACGUCAUUUUGGUAUGACGAAGGACGAUGUCUCGGUUGGCUCCCAAUGCUUUGGCAAAAUCGAGAUCCUUUGGUUAGAGCUUCAGCAUUGCAACUACUUGCAGGCUUGACCACUGGCCAACAUACUGCUUCACAACUGUUGAAUGCGAUUGUAUUAGCGCCUAACGAAUUAUGCCAUACAUUACUCGAUCAUAUUACCAACAGAAUGGAGUCCUGUAUAGUGAGAGAACAAGCAGCCAUUGCACUCAGUAACAUUGUGAAGAAUUGUAAAUGUUCAGCUUAUCAGUAUACAGAUUCUUUGAAGUCUGAGGCAAUUUUAAUAUUUGCCGAACAAAGUAAUAUUUAUUACGAAAUCAGCAUCCUGUGUUCUAAUAUUUAUAUGCCAUCAACAUUGGACCCUCAUCCCAGCAAUGCGGUUAAUGACGAAGUUAUGCAAUCACCGUCUCAGCACAACGGCAUGACCAGUAGUGUGUCAUUAGUACGGAAGCAAGUUUCUCACAUCUAUAAUUAUCGAGAUGAAUAUCAACAAUUAUCGGUCAAGGACUCUGAAAUUACCGAGGAUGAUAAUUCACUUCAAUUUGUAACUACUCCAUCUCUCAUCACAGCCAUUUGUAAUCUGCUCAUAAACUUGAUAUCCAUUGAUGAGCAUAAUGUCAUUCGCCAAUUCUACGAACAUUCCAUCGAUAAAUAUUUUUUUGGGUGUAUUAACGGUAUCCCACAAAAUAUUGAGUCCAGAAAAAAUCUAAUCCAUUACGGUGAUAUUCUUGAGAUGUAUACCGGAUUAUGUAAAGUCAUUACCAAGUGCGUGACACAUAAUAGUGGGCUUGCAACUACAGCAAGUUUCUCCCCAGAUUCUCUCUAUUCGGUAAUAAGCCUUCUGAAUCAAAAUUUGUUUUAUACAAACACACCAAGAUUAGUUUAUCUACGCAAUCAGCUAUGGACUGAGAUUUAUAAAUUGUUAGCUGUUCUUGCAAUUUCUGAGAAUCAGUGCUCAGAGGCUUUACAAUCUGCAAUUGAAUUAUGUGGCCCGGAAUUGGUGGUAUCUUCUAUGUGCCUAGCCAUCAAAAACACAACGUCUGAACUGCAAAUAAGUGCGAUUGGCUCCCUUGCAUCCUUACUUCUGCACGAAGUACAGAGUGAUGUACCUGUGAAGAAAGGUUCAUCUUUGAAAUUAAUAUUAGAUUCAAGUCGGACUACAGUUUCUGAUAGACGGAACGAAAUAAGCCUUCGAGAAGUUCUAUCGGACAUAAAUAAACUUUCGAUAAAAAACAUUAACAUGCAUCUUAAGAAAUUGGAUGAAACGGACAUUUUCAAUACAGAGAAUCAUCACAACAGAAAUGAUAAGAAAAUAGCAGACACAAAUUUCGCUAUGGUUGGUUCUGAAAUUUGCAAAAUAUUACUACAACUUUAUAUUGCGCAUAGUUAUACAAAGAUGAAAAAAAAUCGCAAGCAAUCAGAUGACAAAGACCUAAUUAUUGGAGCGUUGACGAAUUUGCUAUGUGUAUCAGCAGAGGCAAAAAAAACUGCACUCAAGGAAGGUUUAGCUGAGACUACAAUGAUACAGUUAAAAGAGUUAUAUGUCAAACUCAAUGUACAGCCCAUAGAACUUCAGAAUAACGGAUCUGACAGACAAAUCAAGAUGAAUCCAUUGCUCUAUGAAGUAAACUGCAUUUUCACAUUACUCAUGAAUUUUAUGUACCAUGGUCCACAAGUUAAAGAAACAAUGGCAAAAGCGGGAUUGGCAGAUAUUCUACAUAAGUUAUGGGCCUGGGUUUCGAUGCAUAAGACUGUCACUGUAUCUGCACUGAAAUUACUUGCUACUUUCACAACUCAUUGUCAAGAAGCUUCACAGUCCUUGACUUUGACUACGACAUUACCUGGAGUAGGGCUUAGAAAAACUCCAAAUACCGUUGCUUUAAUUCAUAUCACAGUACACUUGGUUUCCAAAGAAAUUGAAAAAGCUGGUCAACGUUUUGACAAUCACAAACUCCAUUUUGCUUUUCAAAUAUUACGAAAUGCUACUCAUAUCCACGAAUGUAGAGUAUCAAUUUCAAAGAGUAAUUUGCUACAGUUCUUUUCAAAGAUCCAUCCGAUGAUAACGAAAAGAGUCAAACCCUGGCCUUUGGUGGAAAUGUACUGUUUGGAGUUUCUGAUUGAUUUUACGUACUAUGAAGAAGGACAAAUAUCAGUAUCUAAGGCUACGGAUGGCUUACAUGUUCUGAUUCACUUGGCUAAGUGCUCAUCAUCGUCAGUCAGAAUUUUGGCUCUCUCGAUAUUACGUAAUCUGGCCUUUAACUCAACGAAUAGGCCAAGGCUCCUUAGUUCGGUUGAUUUCAUCAAUUUGCUACAUAACAUAUUCAGAAAGGGUCAUUUAACUGAAAUUGGGGUAGCUGGAGCCGCACUUUGGUCUCUGAUUAGCAAUAAUCAAAAGGGCAAAUUGAUCGCUCGAAAUGCUGGCUUUCUCCAGGGUAUUCAAGAAGUACUCGGCCGACUCACGCUAUCUGUUUCCCAUGCUGAACAAGAACAGGAAUUAAUCAAGAUGUUGCAAUACCUAAUCCGCAUAUUAAGUACUUCUUCAGAGAAUUCCAAUCAUGCUACAUGAUCGAGUUACUGCUUUGCUGAAUGAUUUCCAUAGAAAGGUAAAGCUCCUGUCGUUGGUCUCAAAACAACAAGAAGAAAUCUGGGUGUCGCAUUUUUUCUACGUCGCGAAUAUGUAUGAGAUCAAAUGAAAAUGUUCGUAGCACAGAGGGAAUCCUAAUUGUUCUAAAUUUGCCUAGACAGACCAAGGCCUUUUUGACUGGCUCGAGCAUAAUUCAACAUCUGGUGAUUUGCGGUGAUUUGACGUAUGUGCAAACAUACAUUGAGAAUUAAAGUUUUUUAUAUCGACGUUGAACCAAUAGGCUUCGGAAAUAUUGGGCCAUAUUAUAAACAAAUCUUUACGAUAAGUCAUGAAUAUUUUGGAACUUUCGUUCUUCUAUGUAGGAAGCUAGUUUACUUUCGGCCGACAUCGUAUAGAUAACGAUCAAUUAUAAUAUCCGCCGUGCGUCUUCGAACGUUAACUGAAAUUGUGUUCCAAUUUUAUGUGUAUUGAGAAAGGGAUACGUACAAAGGUAUACCUAUAGUAUUCGCUUUUUAGAUCCAUUGACUCGUCAAAGAUUCAAUUUUCUGCAAACAAAGAGAACUUCUACUCAUCACCAACCAUGAUUUACAUUUACAUGACUAAAUAGUAUAAACCAACGAAUCUAAACCGCAUACUCUAUAAAAAAUUACCUAUGCCAAAAGCGCAGAUUUAGUUACAACGUUAUACACUAAAGCGGUUCAUUGCUUAAUAUUUUUUAAAAACGAUUUUCAUGCCUACCGUGGUUUUUAUUCUAUUACGAAGAUCUUUUUCAACGUUCACUCAUCUGCAUGUAAUACCUUUCACUCGUCAUGUAAUUUUUGCACAUACAUGCAUUGUAGAUCUACGUAUGUAUAGUAUAGGUACUAUACGUUACGUUCUAAUUAUGUAAUAACUAAUAAUCUGCUGAAAUUCUGGUUUGUUUACUCAUGUUUACUAUUUUCUUGUAGAUUUAUAUUUAGGGUUGUCUUCUACAUGCUUUUACUGCAUAUUUCUUAUUACAAUACUUACUGUGUUGUGAUGUCAUGUUCAUCUAACAGAGAUUCAACAAUCUUGCAGAUUUAAAACUUCUGAAGAUGUGGUGAAUAUUAAUUCUGAUUUCAUUUUGAGUUUAUUUGAAUCAUGCUUUAAUGGCCAGCGAGAAUUACGAAACGAAAGUAAACUUACUAGGUCGUAUUGUAAUAAUCUAAUCGAGUUACAUAUGGUACGACCGUAAUAUUCUGCAGAAUUUGAUAAUAAGUAUCUUAUAUUAUACAUAUCAGUAUUCUAAAGGAAACAUGACAUUUUCAAAUUUCAUGCAACCGCUGAUAGCUACUAUGGUUUUUUUACCCGCCACGAAUCGGCUAACCAAUGACUCGAAACAAUACGCAAUUGUGAUAAAACCAGAAAUUUGCGAUCUGAUUAUCACGAGAUAAGACUAACGAAAGUAAAUAUUAUCUUCAAAGUUGACAAAACAUACAACAGGUAAUUAGAUUUCCAUUCUUAUGAACGUACAUAUUUGCAACGUGAAAUUUUUGGCCAUCGUAUGACGCAGCUAUUUGCGCUUUCGUCGACGUAUAAAUUUUAAUUAAGUUUUUGCUAAAUUUUCGAACAUUCUCAUAAUGAUUGAGAUCAAUAAUUAUCUGGCAUUCAAGCAGUAAAGAUUGCUAGAUUUCUCAUAACUCGUUUCGAAUGUGCGGUUCAGAAAUGUACAAAAAUUGAAAAAAAAAAAAAACCAUAUCUCCGAUCGUCACGUAGUCGUCUCUCUUUUUCUCUUCUGGAAUUGCGUCUAAUUGUGAAGUACAGAUUUCUUUUUGUUUUGACAACUUUGAAAAAAAAUGACCGGCACGCGUUGGGUAAACUAAUGUUUCGAACUGUCGUUAUCCUUUAUAUUGUUGGCUGGUAUAAUAAUUUGGAAAGAAACUUUCACCGACAGAAUCCAGCGGCAUUUAAAGUUUGCUUAUACAAUCCGAAAGACUCUCAAACUCGGUCAGACGUCAUGUUCUUUGGUCAUUCAAAGUUUUCGUUUCUCAAUUUCUUUUCUGGUUCAGUCAAGUUAUUUCCUUAUUUCGUCAGCCUUGUAUACAUGUAUAUUUUCCAGCAAUCGCAUAAUAUAAUCCUUUAUAAUAAUAACAUUUUACAUUAAACAGAUUUCAUCAGCCCGUCAUAAAAUCAGUUUUAAUGUUCAACUUCAAAUCCCUCAGCAUGAGACAUGACUCGAUAAAUUAUACUUGUCGAAACAAAUCUCCGGGUCACGAUUCAGUUUUGAUGAUCUCGAUAUUAUACUGCGAGCAUUGACAUUCAGAGAUCAUCAGACACGGACACGCGUUCAACUUCCCUUUUUUUUCAUAUUUUAUUUCAUAAUUUAUAUGCCGUCAGCAAUAUGCGUUCUAAACGCUUGUCAAUCAUUUCCUGCAACGUACUGGUCCUACGCAAAUGAUAUAUAUAUGUAAAACUUUGAAAAAAAAUUCAGAUAAUCGUGCUAUAUCUGCUUCCUUAUCGGAUGGAUAAAACGAACUCUUUCGGAUCCAUUUACUGUUUCUUAUUGGCUUGUAAAAAAGAGGCAAGUAUGUAAUUUAUAAGUUAUAUCAAUUGUAACUUUUGCAAUAAAUUCUUUAAUUUGUU